UGGGGAGUAUUGGACAAUGGGGGCAACCCUGAUCCAGCCAUGCCGCGUGAGUGAUGAAGGCCUUAGGGUUGUAAAGCUCUUUCACCGGUGAAGAUAAUGACGGUAACCGGGGAAGAAGCCCCGGCUAACUUCGUGCCAGCAGCCGCGGUAAUACGAAGGGGGCUAGCGUUGUUCGGAAUUACUGGGCGUAAAGCGCACGCAGGCGGAUUGUUAAGUCGAGGGUGAAAUCCCAGGGCUCAACCCUGGAACUGCCUUCGAUACUGGCAUUCUUGAGUCCGAGAGAGGUGAGUGGAAUUCCGAGUGUAGAGGUGAAAUUCGUAGAUAUUCGGAAGAACACCAGUGGCGAAGGCGGCUCACUGGCUCGGAACUGACGCUGAGGUGCGAAAGCGUGGGGAGCAAACAGGAUUAGAUACCCGUGGUAGUCCACGCCGUAAACGAUGGGUGCUAGCCGUUGGGCAGCUUGCUGUUCAGUGGCGCCGCUAACGCUUUAAGCACCCCGCCUGGGGAGUACGGUCGCAAGAUUAAAACUUAAAUGAAUUGACGGGUC
rnacentral:rRNA from 1 species